UGCUGCGGAAGGAGGAGAAGUGCGUGGGAGAGAGUCUACGUGUGCCUGCGGGUGGCCGGUGUAGCUGAGCCCGUGACUCACAGCAGUGGCCUCUGAGAGUGACGGCGACUGACAAACAGACUAAGGCCAAGAAAGAGGUUAUAUCAUGAACCCAUGACCUGACUCCAGACAAUGAUUUUGCCAUUCCAACUUCAGAGGAAGCUUUGGAAGGAGUUUAAACCAUAAGCUUACCCUCUCAAUCAUCCACUACCCCAAGGACAGAGGUGGGAAAACUCAAAGGCACAGGCUGUACUGAGAAGUUUGAGCAAUGGAGAAGAAAGUGGAGCUCUGACUGACCUUAGCCCACCACAGUCAGGCUCCAAGAGGGGAGAUGGCCUGGGCUGAUGGCUCCCUUUCCUCUGCUGGCCCUUCCCUUUUGGGAAAACCCCCAUGUCAGAAAAGUCUCAAGUCUGUCAGACUGGGAGUCCCCAACUCCCAACCCAAGGAAGCAGCCCUAGGAAAGGAGAGGAUGAGAUUUCCCAAAGCUAUCUCUUACCACUUCCCUCCCCCAAUCUCAUCCCUCCAUCUAUUGGUGAGAAGCCUCCUAAAGUUGGCCUGAGGCUCCUGAGGGACUGGUUCCACCGGAGUCUUUAACCAGGACCCUAUCCUCCUUGGGACCUGCAAUAGAGAUAAGAAUCAGAGUACAAUCCUCAAAUAAUUCCCACAAAUUUGGAGCUGAUUCUUAACUGAAAAGAAAGAAAGAAAGAAAGAAAGAAAGAAAGAAAGAAAGAAAGAAAGAAAG
rnacentral:lncRNA from 1 species